rnacentral:rRNA from 1 species
AGUCGAGCGGUAACAGAGAGUAGCUUGCUACUUUGCUGACGAGCGGCGGACGGGUGAGUAACGCGUAGGAAUCUGCCUAGUAGUGGGGGACAACCUGUGGAAACGCAGGCUAAUACCGCAUAAUCCCUGAGGGGGAAAGGAGGGGAUCUUCGGACCUUUCGCUAUCAGAUGAGCCUGCGUGAGAUUAGCUAGUUGGUGGGGUAAAGGCUCACCAAGGCGACGAUCUCUAGCUGGUCUGAGAGGAUGAUCAGCCACACUGGGACUGAGACACGGCCCAGACUCCUACGGGAGGCAGCAGUGGGGAAUAUUGGACAAUGGGCGCAAGCCUGAUCCAGCCAUGCCGCGUGUGUGAAGAAGGCCUUCGGGUUGUAAAGCACUUUCAGCGAGGAGGAAAGGUUGCCGCUUAAUACGCGGUAGCUGUGACGUUACUCGCAGAAGAAGGACCGGCUAACUCCGUGCCAGCAGCCGCGGUAAUACGGAGGGUCCAAGCGUUAAUCGGAAUUACUGGGCGUAAAGCGCGCGUAGGCGGUUAGAUCAGUCAACUGUGAAAGCCCUGGGCUCAACCUGGGAACUGCAGCUGAUACUGUCUAACUAGAGUUUGGUAGAGGAGUGUGGAAUUUCCUGUGUAGCGGUGAAAUGCGUAGAUAUAGGAAGGAAUACCAGUGGCGAAGGCGGCCACCUGGCUUGAUACUGACGCUGAGGUGCGAAAGCGUGGGGAGCGAACAGGAUUAGAUACCCUGGUAGUCCACGCCGUAAACGAUGUCAACUAGCCGUUGGGGGGCUUGGCUUUAGUGGCGCAGCUAACGCGAUAAGUUGACCGCCUGGGGAGUACGGCCGCAAGGUUAAAACUCAAAUGAAUUGACGGGGGCCCGCACAAGCGGUGGAGCAUGUGGUUUAAUUCGAUGCAACGCGAAGAACCUUACCUACUCUUGAAAUCCUGCGAACUUAGUAGAGAUACUUUGGUGCCUUCGGGAACGCAGUGACAGGUGCUGCAUGGCUGUCGUCAGCUCGUGUUGUGAAAUGUUGGGUUAAGUCCCGUAACGAGCGCAACCCCUAUCCUUAGUUGCCAGCGAGUAAUGUCGGGGACUCUAAGGAGACUGCCGGUGACAAACCGGAGGAAGGCGGGGAUGACGUCAAGUCAUCAUGGCCCUUACGAGUAGGGCUACACACGUGCUACAAUGGCCGGUACAGACGGUUGCGAAGCCGCGAGGUGGAGCUAAUCCGAGAAAGCCGGUCGUAGUCCGGAUUGGAGUCUGCAACUCGACUCCAUGAAGUCGGAAUCGCUAGUAAUCGUGAAUCAGAAUGUCACGGUGAAUACGUUCCCGGGCCUUGUACACACCGCCCGUCACACCAUGGGAGUUGAUUGCACCAGAAGUGGGUAGCUUAAAAUUGGGCAGGGCGGUUACCACGGUGUGGAUAA